rnacentral:hammerhead_ribozyme from 1 species
GUACUGCUGAAGAGUCCCAGUUUAGGACGAAACAGCUGCCCAGUAC